AAAUCUGCAAUUAAGAAAGAGAAAAAGAUAGAAGAAGAGGAGUCUCUGUUGUUUUAUCAAUUCGCAGGCAAAACCUAACAAGAGAAUUUACCUUCGUUCGUGAUUCAACUCAAAGAUGGCGGAUGCAUUGACCGAUUCACACAUCGACAAUAGUAACACUGCGGCGGUACAAGCCACCAACGAUGACGCUUCCGCCAGUAAAUUGUCAUGUGUGAAAAAGGGAUACAUGAAAGAUGAUUACAUUCAUUUAUUUGUGAGAAGGCCUGUAAGGAGAUCUCCAAUUAUUAAUCGUGGUUACUUUUCUCGUUGGGCUGCCCUCCGGAAACUUCUCUACCAGUUUCUUGAUGUUGAGAAAAAGACUGAUGAAAAUGGCCCAACAAAAAUGCAGAUAUUAUCACUUGGAGCAGGCUUUGAUACAACAUAUUUUCAGUUGAAGGAUGAGGGGAAAGCACCACAUUUAUAUGUGGAAGUGGACUUUAAGGAGGUAACAAGUAAAAAGGCGGCACUUAUUGAGACUUGCAGUCAAUUGAAGAAUAAACUCGGUGAAACAGCUUCCAUUUCAAGAGAGAAAGGAGAAGUGGUCAGUGCUCAUUAUAAACUAGUCCCUGCAGAUUUGCGAGAUGUAAAACAAUUAAACGAUAUUAUAACCAUUACCGAGAUGGAUCCUAGCCUGCCAACUUUUAUAAUUGCAGAAUGUGUUCUGAUUUACUUGGACCCAGAUUCAAGUCAUGAAGUUGUUGGCUGGGCCUGUCGAACAUUUUCAACAGCAAUAUUUUUUCUUUAUGAGCAGAUCCAUCCAGAUGAUGCUUUUGGGCAGCAGAUGAUCCGAAAUUUGGAGUGUCGAGGUUGUCCUCUGUUGGGCAUUUAUGCCACACCAACUCUACUUGCAAAGGAAAAAUUAUUUCUGGAUCAAGGAUGGCAGAAGUCUGUUGCAUGGGACAUGCUGAGAGUUUAUAAUGAUUUUGUUGAUGCUCAAGAAAGACGCAGCUACCAGACAUUAGCUAUAUAAGCUAGCAAUCAUCUAGCUUAUAACUUAUUUUUACAAAACCGCAUCUUGGACGAAAAACAACGGUCUGGCACAAAGACGGGCCUGGCUAUAACUUUAGGACAAAGAUGGGGCUGGGGUGAGUUCUAGGCUCAUAGCUAACAGAGUCACUACCAGUAUGAUUAGUCCGGGUCAAAAAUAUCACCAAUGGAAUGAUCAUCUGGUGAAUAAGUUAGCCGACCACAGGUAUGGUUCCUUAAUGCAAAAGGAAAUCUGGACAAACACCUUCAAACUUUUUUCUUAUAUACAUUAGGCAUAACUUAGAUAGUAACUGAUGAAUAGACUGAGAACAUGUAAAAUUUGAUCAUUGAACACAAAAAGCAGCCCAAGGGACCCAAACAGCCAAGGGGAAAUGGCGAACAGGUGGGCUUGACCAAGAAUGGUGUGGUGAGGCGAAGGCCCAACUUUGGACGGAUGCAACCAGCAUACACAUGGCCUCCAGAACCUGCAACCCAAAGCUGAAAUCUGCUAGUGAAAGCUGUCACAAGAUCGUUGGUCACUUUCAAGCUAAUGCCAGCCAAUGGUCAUUGCUGUCUAUGCCAGAAAACUCGACCACAGUUGUUGUAUUUGCAUAAAUGAUUGAACGUCUGGAAUUGUUUGAUGAAUUUGAAGAGUGGUACAUGAUGCAGGAGCACUACUGUGUGGCUUAUGCAAUCAACGAUGC